rfam:Hyphomicrobium denitrificans 1NES1, complete genome.
GCGCCCGUAGCUCAGCUGGAUAGAGCACCAGACUACGAAUCUGGGGGUCAGGAGUUCGAAUCUCUUCGGGCGCG